rnacentral:rRNA from 1 species
GCAGAGGGGAAUAGCAGGUUGUGCGUCUCUGUAAGAGACUAUUACUGUUACAUGCUACAGACACGGCCUGCGAUAUUCAAUCCCAUACUCUGUGGAGCACAGUUGCUGCAGCAAUGGGCGGUAGACAUGUAUGUCAAGAUUGAGAGUUGUCGGUUGAGGUGGUUCAGGAAGAACCAGACGCAGAUUCGGGCCGACUUGUAUAAAGGAGUUGUUGAUGCGAUCACAUCAGGUGAGACGCGAGCAAGCGCUGUUGGGACAAGGAUAGUG